rnacentral:ncRNA from 1 species
CUGGCCUGCUCACAGAGCACAAUGAGUGAGAUUUUUUGGUCCUUCGAUGUUGUCUCUUCCUAUCACUGUGAACCAGAAUUCACCAAGUGUUGGAUUGUUCACCCACUAACAGGGAAUGUGAUCUGGGCUUAGACCGUUGUGAAACAAGCU